rnacentral:tRNA from 1 species
UGAAAUAAAUUUAGUUAAAGCUUCUAACUUUAAAAUUAAUGAAUAAAAUUCAUUUUAUUUCU